rnacentral:rRNA from 1 species
CGCCUAACACAUGCAAGUCGAACGCAGUAGCAAUACUGAGUGGCAAACGGGUGAGUAUAAUGUGGGAAUCUGCCUUUUGGUUUGGAAUAACACGGGGAAACUUGUGCUAAUACCAAAUAAGCCCUUACGGGGAAAGUUUUAACGCCGAAAGAUGAGCCCGCACUUGAUUAGCUAGUUGGUAAGGUAAAAGCUUACCAAGGCAACGAUCAAUAGCUGUUCUUAGAGGAAGACCAGCCACAUUGGGACUGAGACACGGCCCAGACUCCUACGGGAGGCAGCAGUGGGGAAUCUUGCACAAUGGGGGAAACCCUGAUGCAGCGAUGCCGCGUGAGUGAAGAAGGCCCUUGGGUUGUAAAACUCUUUCGUCGGGGAAGAAAAUGACUGUACCCGAAUAAGAAGGUCCGGCUAACUUCGUGCCAGCAGCCGCGGUAAUACGAAGGGACCUAGCGUAGUUCGGAAUUACUGGGCUUAAAGAGCUCGUAGGUGGUUAAAAAAGUUGAUGGUGAAAUCCCAAGGCUUAACCUUGGAACUGCCAUCAAAACUUUUUAGCUAGAGUGUGAUAGAGGUAAGUGGAAUUUCUAGUGUAGAGGUGAAAUUCGUAGAUAUUAGAAAGAACACCAAAUGCGAAGGCAACUUACUGGGUCACUACUGACACUGAGGAGCGAAAGCAUGGGUAGCGAAGAGGAUUAGAUACCCUCGUAGUCCAUGCCGUAAACGAUGAGUGCUAGACGUUGGAAAUAUAUUUUUCAGUGUCGCAGCGAAAGCAUUAAGCACUCCGCCUGGGGAGUACG